rnacentral:rRNA from 1 species
AUGGCACGGUACUGGUGGAGUAGCUCAAUCGAUAAGAGGUCACUCCAUUGGGUCUCCUGGAAAGAGCUACCUAAACCAAAAUGUCAGGGAGGAAUGGGCUUCCGGGACCUUCAUCUGUUCAAUCUUGCUCUCCUAGGCAAACAUGGGUGGCGAUUCCUGACAAACCCCACGUCACUCUGCGCAAGAGUUAUGAAAGGAAGGUACUUCCCGGACUCAAAUUUCUUGCAGGCCACGGCACCCAAGGCGUCCUCCGCUACUUGGCGUGCUAUCAUCGCGGGGCGAGAG